UAGGGAAUCUUCCGCAAUGGACGAAAGUCUGACGGAGCAACGCCGCGUGAGUGAAGAAGGAUUUCGGUUCGUAAAACUCUGUUGUUAGGGAAGAAAAAAUGUAUAGUAACUAUAUACAAAAGAGACGGUACCUAACCAGAAAGCCACGGCUAACUACGUGCCAGCAGCCGCGGUAAUACGUAGGUGGCAAGCGUUGUCCGGAAUUAUUGGGCGUAAAGCGCGCGCAGGUGGUUUAGAAAGUCUGAUGUGAAAGCCCACGGCUCAACCGUGGAGGGUCAGUGGAAACUAAUAAACUUGAGUGCAGGAGAGAAAAGUGGAAUUCCUAGUGUAGCGGUGAAAUGCGUAGAGAUUAGGAGGAACACCGGUGGCGAAAGCGGCUUUUUGGCCUGCAACUGACACUGAGGCGCGAAAGCGUGGGGAGCAAACAGG
rnacentral:rRNA from 1 species